AGCGUCGGCAAAAUUGCGCUUGCGUAUCUCCGGCUCAGCCCCGAGCGGCUGGUUUGCCUCUCGCGAUAACUAUUAAGACUAUUUCGCGUUAACCGGUUGGGUAUUACGCAAACGGGCGACGUCGGGCGAAGAUGUGCGGGCAGCUACGUGUGCUUCUUGUCGCCACUCGAGGAUCCAAAGCUCACAUAAAGCCGGAUUCAAGAGGCAUUACUUGUGUUGACUGCCUUUCUUUCCAGCAUCCAUCCCCCCUACCCACCCGCCUGAAUUGCACUGGGGGAACGCACUCGGUUCUGGGGAAGGAACUCCACUUCCAGCUUUAAGAGUGGAAGAGGAGAUCAAGACCAAGCUAAUGAAUCCAUUCCAUCUCCCUAAGCACACAGAUGGGUUGACUGAAGACCCAAGCUGACCUAGUCAGAGUGAGUCUCAGGACCUGGUCUUUAACGGCAGAACAAAUACACUAUCUUUCCUAUCAUCAGGAUGGAUAUAAUGCAAGAAGCUGCUGUCAGCAAUUUUAGGACUCCAGCAGGGGACAGACUUGUAUUUGGUGACAUCACUGAAUUGCUGGAUGACACCUUGCCUCCAAGCCCACUCUAUUACUCAAUCUUGUGUUACAUGAACCAGUAAAUUGCUGUAUUGUUGAAAGCAUUACUUCAGACUUUCUGGUACUUGCGACUACAAGCAGCCAGAUUAUACAAACUUGCCACAGUCUGCUAAAUGGUAUGGCCUUCCUUUCUGGUCUUGACUGUGGUCCUGACUUUGUCCAUGUUCUUCCAUUUGCGUGCAGCACCUUUUUCCAUUCCGCUUCCACCUAAUCUCCUGGUUGAUUAGUUUCCUUUGAGACAACUGAAAUACCCUGGAUUCAUAUCCUAGUUCCAGUAUUUAUUAGCUUUGUGGCUUCAGAUGACUUACAACUCUCUGGUCAUUUCUCCUCUGCUGUGAAAUUGGGGUUAUUACCUUACAGAGCUGUUAUUUUAAAGGAGACUUCCGUAAGUAACAUGCUCAGAGAAGACCUAUGUAAAGUUCUCAAUAAUUAUUUUAAAAACAAAAGCUCCAUGCUCUACAGUCAGAUCUACUAUGAGGCUUACCUAAACUGCCAGGAACAGUCAGCUGGGCCAGGCUCAGGGAGUCUUGCAGGACAUUCUGAAAACUCUUAUUAGCCAUUGUAUCACCAGACUUAAGAUUUACAGGCAUCUAAUCCCUACUCCAAUGCUAUCUUGUUUUUGUAUCUCCAAACACCACCAACCCUCCCCAACACUGGCACAGGUUUGGCAUAAAAGGUUUGCUGGUAGAGGAGCAAAAAAAGUUCCACUGCCCUUGCCUUCUUUUUGUGCCAAGGCCCCCAGCUUAUAUUGCAUUGCCUAAACACCCUGUAAAUGUGAAUAAUAUUUUUCGAGUAUUAAGACUCUCUAGUCACAUUCCAGUACCCCCCACACAAUUUCCAACAGUUUGUGGAAAAAAGUUUGUCUUUAGAACCCAUCGCUACUCUAUGUAUCUGUAUAUCCCCUAGCAUCCAUCUAAGAGACUUGACUACUGUUCUUCAUUAAAAGAACAAGGACUCAUUGGAGAGUGGUUGUAGUAGGCAGUAUAGGAGCCCCCAAAGAUCUCCCCAUCCUAAUCCCCGAAACCUGUGACUAUGUUACCUGACAUGGAAAGGCAAAAGGGACCCUAUAGAUGUGAUGAACUGAGGAUCUUGGGAGGGAAAAUUAUCCUGGAUUAUCUGAUGGGUGUAAUGUAAUCACAAGGGUCCUUAUAAGAGGGAGGCAUUAGGGGCAGUCAGAGAAUAUGUGACUAUGGAAGCAGAGAUCAUAGUGAUGGCAGCCAUGAGCCAAGAAACACAGACAGCUGGAAAAGCUAGAAAAGACAAGAACAGAUUUGUUCCUAGAGCUUCCAGACAGGAUGCAGCCCUGGGGAUGUGUUGACUUUAGCCUCGAAAGAAUCAUUUCAGACUAAUAAAUUUGUGUUGUUUUACGCCUCUAA